UGAGGGGUAUAGGAUUCGAAUUUUUUUGCAUUUUUGAAUAAGUUUUUCAUUCAAAAAAAAACCUAAUUUCUAUGCCUGAGUGCUGAAAUGAUAAACACACGAAGUAUAUAAAAUCUAAAAAAACCCAAUGAAUAGUCAGGAGUAAGACAAUUUGAGUUCUUUUCAUUAAAAGUUUUUUUAGUGAGUUGUAAGAUAAUUUUUACUUUGGAAUUUCACAACACACAUGGCCUGCACUUCUAAGGGUUAGGUUCAACAUUAUGUUGUUAAGUCUGGUAGUAACCUUGAGUCCUGAUGAAUCAUACCUAUCUAAUUCACUAUUAUCCCAUAUUUAUUAAAAUAAAAUUAAAAUUAAAAUUUAUAAAAAAGAAAAAAGAAAAAAAAAGAAGAGUGAAUUUAGUCAGGUACAUCGAAAAGGGCUACCUAUCGUCAAAGGUCAGCGGGCGUGAUGAUGAACCCGAGCAUAGGUCCGUAGGGGAAUCUUGAUGCCAUCUAGCGUGGGAGUUGUUGAUUGAAUGCUCGCUACACGGAGGAAUCAUUACAAGAGUAAAAGUGCAUAAUUUAUUAAUUAAAAACAAAAAAAAGAAAGAGAAAAAGAGAAAAUAAUAUUGACCUUGAAAAAGACGAUAGUGUGAAAGCCGUCGUUGUAAAAAUUCGAGUAAACUGAAAUAUUACAGAUAAAGCCCAUGAGGUAUUAAAGUAAACAUCCACAACUCUUGAAAUCCUGCAAGAUAGGAUGAUUUUGAAUCAGUGAUUGGUCUUAUCUGACCAAUUCUUGGAAACUACUAGUUUUAGCAGUAUUUUGGGGGAUCUAAAGCCUUAGCUUGUAUGGUCCCGAUUUCACCGAGCACUCAAGUAUAAAAAAUCUUACAACUCCCUAACGGAAACUUAAUGACCUCCACUUGAAUUGCAUUUUGACCUAGGAUUUAGGCUGACUUAGUAAUUAAAACUUUGUAUGCUUUUGAAAUUAUUGACACUUAUGCAUUUGAAAUUAGAUUUUAUAAAAUA
rnacentral:lncRNA from 1 species